rnacentral:rRNA from 1 species
AUUGAACGCUGGCGGCAUGCCUAACACAUGCAAGUCGAACGGUAGCAGAUCUAGCUUGCUAGAUGCUGACGAGUGGCGGACGGGUGAGUAACACGUAGGAAUCUGCCUUGAAGUGGGGGGUAACCCGAGGAAACUCGGGCUAAUACCGCAUAUGCCCUAAGGGGUAAAGGGGCCUUGUAUUUAUACAAGGUUUCGCUUUAAGAUGAGCCUGCGGUGGAUUAGCUUGUUGGUAGGGUAAUGGCCUACCAAGGCUGUGAUCCAUAGCUGGUCUGAGAGGACGAUCAGCCACACUGGGACUGAGACACGGCCCAG